GACGAACGCUGGCGGCGUGCUUAACACAUGCAAGUCGAGCGAGAGAGUUCCUUCGGGAACAAUCUAGCGGCGGACGGGUGAGUAACACGUGGGCAACCUGCCUUAUAGAGGGGAAUAGCCUUCCGAAAGGAAGAUUAAUAACGCAUAGUAUCCAAUUACCGCAUGGUUAAGGGCUGAAAGGAGUAAUCCGCUAUAAGAUGGGCCCGCGGCGCAUUAGCUAGCUGGUGAGGUAACGGCUCACCAAGGCGACGAUGCGUAGCCGACCUGAGAGGGUGAUCGGCCACAUUGGGACUGAGACACGGCCCAGACUCCUACGGGAGGCAGGAGUGGGGAAUAUUGCACAAUGGGGGAAACCCUGAUGCAGCAACGCCGCGUGAGUGAUGAAGGCCUUCGGGUUGUAAAGCUCUGUCUUCAGGGACGAUAACGACGGUACCUGACGAAUAAGCCCCGGCUAACUACGUGCCAGCCGCCGCAGUAAAAC
rnacentral:rRNA from 1 species